GGCGGCGAAUUCCUCAACCCCUGUUCUGAGCCAGGGGCUGGACAUAUGCACGCCCCUCACUUAGGCCAGGAUGUGGGGAAGACGGGCGGGUAACAAUUCACCGCCAGAAAGAACACACUCUGACAUCAGCGCAUCGCCAAGCCCUCAGGGCAUCAGUUUUCUCAUCAAACUGUCUUCCUGUGCCCGCUGAGUCAGGCCGGAGGAGGCUGCGGACUUUCAGAAUCUUCAGACAAGAGCAUCUGUCAGAAAACCAAACUUUUCUCCUGCUAGAACUGACUGAUGCAUUUUACGCAAUCAAAUUCUGUCUGUUUACAAAGUUCUGCGUGUUAGGAGCCCCUUCCUGAGAGGAGGGCCUGCACACUAAACCAGCAGUCUACAUGGUCUCCACUCUUCCUUUGGGUGCCUCCAACUCCUUACCUGUCAAAUGUGGAGGCUGACAAGAUGCUUUCUAGAAGCUCUUAGAGCUCUGACGUUGGACACUCCCAUGGCGAAGCACAGGGGAGAAUUCCUUAUUCAAAAGAACCCUUCAGUGCAAGGAGAAUCUUCCAGAAAUGGAAAUUUGUAUGCCUCCUACAAGCGUUUAGCCUAUUUGUGUUUAUGUGCCCUGUUAAUUGGAUCUGCAGCCUAUGAUAUCUCGUUUUAAUUUAACUAAUCCUCACAAAAUAGACAAGUGAUUUAAAUGAUUACUGAGAAGAAACUGCAAACUGGAGAUAAUAUUAAUGACACAAGCCCAGGGGACCAGCAGAAUGCUGAUGUGCUAUUUCUGCAACUCCUAGUGCUGCCUCUUUUCAGCUAAUUACAGGAUAAAAAGAAUGGCGGGCUAAUUACAUCAAUCACAACAUUGGCCAAAAGACUGGAAAAAUUAAGAAGACUAUUUGAAGCAUGGUCUUUCAUCCACUAUCAUUAAUGAUGACUCUCUCCUUGAGUGAAUAUUGGAUCUUGACGUAGCUAAUGAGAGUGUGCAGCCAUUGCAAUGAACAAAAUGUUUAGAAACUUCUUUCAGCUACUUAAAGUCAUAAUAUACUCAAUCCAGCCCUUUACAAAAUUUGAUUAAAUUUUUGAUAAUUUUGAAUUUACUACUUAAUUUUGAAAGUGAAAGUCCAUAGCCCAUUGGUCAAACACUUGCUCUACAUGCUAUAGUGAAAAUAGCUGAAGAAAUAUCUGAAAACUAUAUAGUGACACAUUAAAAUAGACUCCUUGGUCAUUAAACAUUUUUGGAAGAUGCAUAGAACUUGUUGUUAAAGAAUUGAAGAAAUGUUAAAACAAAUAAUUCAUUGUGAGAAGUUUACCCUACAACUGUUGGAAAGUAGUACAGAUGUUUCAACAUAUUUUGGCUUAUGCUAUUUCCAGAUUCUUCAUGGCAAUAAUAAAAUCUGUUGGAGGACCCUUUCUUAUGAGUUCAGAAAAAAGCACUUUCUCAAUGGUAAAUGAGUUUCUUAACAAAAGCAAUGUUUUGGUUUUAUGUUGACAGGAAUGAAAAAAUAGGUAAAUUUCACAAGCUAGUACCUUAUGUGAAAUUUAUUUGCUGCAUUUUCUUUUUAAAGAUUGGCACCUGGGCUAACAACUGUUGCCAAUCUUCCUUUUUUUUUUGUUUUUAAAGAUCGGCACCUGGGCUAACAACUGUUGCCAGUCUUCCUUUUUUUUUUUUAAAGAUUGGUACCUGGGCUAACAACUGUUGCCAGUCUUUUUUUUUUUCUGCUUUCUCUCCCCCAACCCUCCCGUACACAGUUGUAUAUCUUAGUUGCAUGUCCUUCUAGUUGUGGGAUGUGGGAUGCCGCCUCAACGUGGCCUGAUGAGCGGUGCCAUGUCCGCGCCCAGGAUCCGAACCCUGGGCCGCCACAGAGGAGCGCGCGAACUUAACCACUCAGCCACGGAGCUGGCCCCUUGCUGCGUUUUCUAUAGCAAGCUAUUGAAGUCAGGAACAAAGCCACAAAAGCACAGGGCACGAUAGGAUGUCACUGAUGGGGAUCAUUAUACAGAGACAGGAACUUUACAAUAUAGAAGAAUCUGUGCAAUACUUCAUCAUUAGAUAGGCAGUGCACCUGAAAAUAUUUCGUUCAAGCAGAGACUCCUUCAUUCUCUUUUGCAAAGUAUUUGAAGCAAUGAGAGAACAUAAAAUCAAGGUUCUAAAUGAUUUGAUCUUUUCAAGGAUGACAAAUGACUGUCAGGAGUCUAAGUUUUCCCUUCAGGGUAAGUGUCACGAUUUAAUAAUAAAUGAGAUGGUAACUGCCUUUCAAAAGAAACGUGUAAACCACAGAGAGAGACCUUCAUACAUGCACCAAAAUGGCCACAA
ensembl:lncRNA